GCAGGGGUGCCGGAGCGGUCAAAUGACUUCUCUGCACGGCAGAGGCUCAGACUAUACGGGAUGGGCUUAGGACCCAUUGACUUAGUGUCUACGCAGGUUCAAACCCUGUCCCCUGCA
rnacentral:tRNA from 1 species